ensembl:lncRNA
AUGAUGAUUUUUUUCCCAUUUUUGCCGUUUUUCAGCCCGUUUUCGUGCCUAGAUCACCAUGGCGGCCCAGCCCAGGAUGAGCACGUUGAUUUUGAUGAUUUUUUUGCCCAUUUUUACUGUUUUUUCACCUUUUUUUGCAGUUUUUUCGCCGUUUUUUCCGUUUUUUCAGUUUUUUCUCCAUUUUUCCCGUUUUUGCCAUUUUUCAGCCCAUUUUCAUGCCUACAGCGCCAUGGCGGCCCAGCCCAGGAUGAGCACGUUGUUUUUGAUGAUUUCUUGUCCAUUUUUACCGUUUUUUUAGCCUUUUUUUGCAGUUUUUCGCCGUUUCUUCGCCGUUUUUUCCGUUUUUUUCCCGUUUUUCCCAUUUUUGCCGUUUUUUGGCCCAUUUUUGGUGCCUACAGCGCCAUGGCGGCCCAGCCCAGGAUGAGCAGGGAGCCCCCGAGCGGCGCCGCCGCCGCCCCCGCCGGGUCCCCGGUCAGGCCCUGCCGGUACAGGGGGGCGCAGAACAGCCCCACCCCCCCCAGCAGCAGCGCCCCCGCCUGCGGAGAAUUCGGGGGGAAAUCGGGGGAUUUUGGGGAUUUUGGGGGAUUUUGGGGGAUUUGGGGGCGGUUUUGGGGGGAUUUGGAGGAAUUUUGCGGAUUUUUGGGGGAUUUUGGGCGAUUUGGGGGAGAUUUAAGGGGAUUUUGGGGGGAUUUUAAGGAAAUUUGGGGGAUUUGGGGGAUUUUGGGGGAAUUUUGGGGAUUUUGGGGGAUUUGGGGGAGAUUUGGGGGAUUUUGGGGGGAUUUUGGGGAAUUUCAGGGAGAUUUGGGGGGAUUUGGGGGAAUUUGGGGCAUUUUGGGGAAUUUGGGGGAUUUUGGGGGAGAUUUGGAGGGAUUUGGGGAUUUUGGGGGGAUUUGGGGGAGAUUUGGGGGAUUUUGGGGAGAUUUGGGGGGAUUUGGGGGAGAUUUGGGGGAAUUGGGGGGAAUUUUGGAGAUUUGGGGAGAUUUGGGGGGGAUUUUGAGGAUUUGGGGGGAAAUUUGGGGAUUUUGGGGGGAUUUUGGGGGAUUUUGGAGAAUUUCAGGGAGAUUUGGGGGAUUUUGGGGAGAUUUGGGGGGGUUUUGGGGAUUUUGGGGGAUUUUGGGGGGAUUUGGGGAGAUUUGGGGGAUUUUGGGGGAUUUGGAGGAUUUUGAGGGAUUUGGGGGAGAUUGGGGGAGAUUUGGAGGGAUUUGGGGAUUUUGGGGGGAUUUGGGGGAGAUUUUGGGGAUUUUGGGGGAGUUUUGGAGGAGAUUUGGGGGAGAUUUGGGGGAGAUUUGGGGGAUUUGGGGGGAUUUGGGGGGAUUUGGAGGAUUUUGAGGGAUUUGGGGGAGAUUUGGGGGGAUUUUUAGGGAGAUUUGGGGUGAUUUGGGGGAUUUUGGGGAGAUUUGGGGAAGAUUUGGGGGAUUUUCGGGAGAUUUGGGGGAUUUGGGGGAAUUUUGGCGGGAUUUGGGGGAAUUUUGCGGAUUUUUGGGGGAUUUUGGGCGAUUUGGGGGAGAUUUUGGGAAUUUGGGGGGAUUUUGGGGGAUUUGGGGGGAUUUUGGGAGAUUUGGGGGAGAUUUGGGGAAUUUUGGGGAGUUUUAGGGGGAUUUGGGGGGAUUUUGGGGGGAUUUAGGGGAGAUUUUUGGGGCGAUUUUGGGGCAGAUUUUUGGGGUGAAUCUGGGGGAUUUUCGGGGUGAAUUUGGGGGAUUUUGGGCAGAUUUUUGGGGUGAUUUGAGGCAGAUUUUUGGGGUGAAUCUGGGGGAUUUUUGGGGUGAUUUUGGGGGAUUUGGGGCUCACCAGGUGUGGCCGGCGGCAGUGGGGCACCGCCAGCAGGGCCAGGCUGUGCAGGAGGUGGAAGCGAUUGGCGAUCUCGUACAGCUGGGAUGAAUUUUUGGGGUGAAUUUUGGGCUUUUUGGGGUUUUUGACGUUUUUUGACGUUUUUUGAGGGUUUUUUGGGGAUUUUUUUGGGUUUUUUUCUCCCCUCUCCUCACUCACCUCCUUCUGAUACUCGUCCCGGUCGCUGCGGCGCAUUCCUGGGGGGGUGGGGGGUCAGCGACCCCCAAAAUCCCCCCAAAUUCCCCCAAAAUCCCCCCAAACCGCCCCAAACCCCACCAAAAACCCCAAAUUCCCUAAAAUCCCCCCAAACCCACCCAAAUCUCCCCAAACCCCCCCUAAAUCCCCACAAAUCCCCCCCAGGACCCCCCAAAUCUCCCCAAAUCCCCACAUAACCCCCCCCAAAUUUUCCAAAAUCCCCCCCAAGCCGCCCCAAAUCUCCCCCAAAUUCCCCCAAAUUUCCCCAAAUCCCCCCAAAUUUCCCAAAAAUCCCCCCCGCGCCCCUUUCCCCACCGUGGGCCCCGUAGGCCGCGGCCGCCACGGCGGCGGCUCCGCUGAGCGCCCCGACCCGUCCCCACAGCGCCGCCAUCGCCGCCGGCCCCGCUUCCGCUUCCGCUUCCGCUUCCGCUUCCGCCCUUCUCUUCCGCCUUCCCGCCCCUCUCAUUGGCCGAGCCGCGCGUCAAUCAAAGCGGCGGCGUGGCCAAUGGGAGCGCGCGGAGAGGGUCCCGCCCCCUCGUGGCGCCGCCUGGUGGAGAAAAAAGGAAACGCAGCGACCCCCGGGGGGAUUUGGGGGAAAUUUGGGGGUUUUUGGGGAUUUUUGGGGAGUUUUGGGGGAAUUUGGGGGGAUUUGGGGCGAUUUGGGGGAUUUUGAGGAGUUUUGGGGUUUUGGGGGAAUUUGGGGGAAUUUGGAGGUUUUGGGCUUUUUGGGAUUUUCGGGGAAUUUUUGGUUUUUUGCGGAUUUUUGGGGAUUUUUGGAGGUUUUGGGGAAUUUGGGGGAACGUGGGGAUUUUGGGGUUUUGGGGGGAUUUGGGGAUUUUGGGGGAAUUUGGGGAUUUUGGGGGUUUUGGGCUUUUGGGAUUUUUGGGGAUUUUUGGAGUUUUUGGGGGAAUUUUUGGGGUUUGGGGGGUUUUCGGCUUUUUGGAGUUUUUGAGGAUUUUUUUGGGGUUUUUGCGCAUUUUUUGGGGAGUUUUUGGGUUUUUGGGGUUUUGGGCUUUUUGGGAUUUUUGCGGAUUUUUGGUGAUUUUUGGCGUUUUGGGGAAUUUUCGGAUUUUUUGGGAUUUUUGGGGAUUUUUGGGGAUUUUUCGGGGAUUUUUUUGGGGGCCUCUGACCCCCCCCAGUGUCCAUGGGGGAGAGAGGAAGAGGAGGAUGAGGAGGAGGAUGAAGAUUUGGGGGCAAUGAGGAUGAUGAGGAUGAACAGGAGGAUGAAGAUGAAGAUGACGAUGAAGACGAAGGUGAAGAUGAAGACGAAGAAGAUGAGGAAGGCCGGGGUUGCUGAGGAUGAUGAAGAAGAUGAUGGGGAUGAAGGCCGGGAGUGCCGGGGAUGACACUGACGAUGAUGAGGGUGAUGAGGAAGGCUGGGCGGGGAUGAUGAUGGUGAUGAUGAUGAUGAUGACAAUAAAGAGGAAGGCCGGGGAUGAUGAAGAUGAUGAAGAUGACGGGGAUGAAGGCUGGGGGUGAUGCCGAGGCUGAGGAUGACGAUGAUGAGGAUGAGGAUGAGGGUGGGGAGGAAGGCCGGGGGUGCUGAGGAUGAUGAUGAGGAUGACGAUGAUGAUGAUGCUGAGGAAGGCCGGGGCUGAUGAAGAUGAUGAAGAUGACGACGGGGAGGAAAAACCAAGGGAUGAUGAAGAUGAUGACGAUGAUGAAGAUGAUGCUGAGGAAGGUCAGGGGUUCUGAGGAUGAGGAUGAUGAUGAUGAAGAUGAGGAAGGCCGGGGGUGCUGCCAAGGCUGAGGAUGACGAUGAUGGGGAUGAAGGCCAGGGGUGCUGCCGAGGCUGAGGAUGAUGAAGAUGAUGAAGAUGAAGGCCGAGGCUGCUGCCGAGGCUGAGGAUGACGAUGAUGAGGAUGAAGAUGAUGCUGAGGAAGGCCGGGGCUGCUGAGGAUGAUGAUGAUGAAGAUGAGGAAGGCCGUGGGUGCUGCCGAGCCCGGCGAUGAUGAUGAUGAAGAUGAUGAUGGGGAUGAAGGCCGUGGGUGCUGCCGAGCCCGGCGACGAUGAUGAUGAAGAUGAUGAUGAGGCUGAAGGCCGGGGGUGCUGCCGAGCCCCGGCGCUGAUGACGCCGAUGACGCUGACGAUGAUGAUGAGGGUGGGGAGGAAGGCCCGGGGGCCGUCCCCCCGCGCGGCGCCGCCCCCCGGAGCAGGAGCGGGAGGAGGAGGAGGAGGAGGAGGAGGAGGAGGAGGAGGAGGAGGAGGAGGAGGAGGAGGAGGAGGAGGAGGAGGAGGAGGAGGAGGAGGAGGAAGAGGCGGCGGCUCCGGCCCGGGAGGGACCCGCGGCCGCUCCGCUCCGGCUCCUCCGGCCCCGCCAUGGCCCCCCCGCCCCGGUGAGCGCCGCGACCCCCCCGCGGGGGGAGGGGAGGGUGGGGGAGGGGCGGGUGGGGGAGGGGGUGGGGGAGGGGCGGCCCAAACCCCCCCCCCCGUUUUAUUUU